rnacentral:rRNA from 1 species
CGAAUGCUGACAUAAGUAACGAUAAAGCGGGUGAAAAGCCCGCUCGCCGGAAGACCAAGGGUUCCUGUCCAACGUUAAUCGGGGCAGGGUGAGUCGACCCCUAAGGCGAGGCCGAAAGGCGUAGUCGAUGGGAAACAGGUUAAUAUUCCUGUACUUGGUGUUACUGCGAAGGGGGGACGGAGAAGGCUAUGUUGGCCGGGCGACGGUUGUCCCGGUUUAAGCGUGUAGGCUGGUUUUCCAGGCAAAUCCGGAAAAUCAAGGCUGAGGCGUGAUGACGAGGCACUACGGUGCUGAAGCAACAAAUGCCCUGCUUCCAGGAAAAGCCUCUAAGCAUCAGGUAACAUCAAAUCGUACCCCAAACCGACACAGGUGGUCAGGUAGAGAAUACCAAGGCGCUUGAGAGAACUCGGGUGAAGGAACUAGGCAAAAUGGUGCCGUAACUUCGGGAGAAGGCACGCU